rnacentral:rRNA from 1 species
UACGGGGGGAGCAAGCGUUGUUCGGAUUUACUGGGCGUAAAGGGCGCGUAGGCGGUCAGCACAAGUCAGUUGUGAAAUCUCCGGGCUUAACUCGGAAAGGUCAACUGAUACUGUGCGACUAGAGUGCGGAAGGGGCAACUGGAAUUCUCGGUGUAGCGGUGAAAUGCGUAGAUAUCGAGAGGAACACCUGCGGCGAAGGCGGCUACCUGGCCCAAUACUGACACUCAGGUGCGACAGCGUGGGGAGCAAACAGG